rnacentral:rRNA from 1 species
UACGUAGGGUGCAAGCGUUGUCCGGAAUUAUUGGGCGUAAAGGGCUCGUAGGCGGUUUGUCGCGUCGGGAGUGAAAUCCACUGGCUUAACUGGUGGCUUGCUUUCGAUACGGGCAGACUGGAGGUAUGCAGGGGAGAACGAAUUCCUGGUGUAGCGGUGAAAUGCGCAGAUAUCAGGAAGAACACCAAUGGCGAAAGCAGCUUUCUGGGACGGUACUGACGCUGAGACGCGAAAGCGUGGGGAGCGAACAGG